CGACAGUGGCUAUUUAUAGUCCAGCAGGAGAAGAGCGCUGAGAUGACUCAAAAUUAGGGAAGCGGCCAACAUUCUGAUCAAACCAGAGGAAAUCCAAAACCAUCUCGAGCAUGUCCAUAACUGGAGCGACCAUUUGCCUGGGGAACGGCCUUUUAAAAUUACAAAGCACAGAAUAAGAAACAGGCAACACAGAUGCCAGGUCUUCAGCCGGCAGCCGUACUGCUAGUAGCCAACGGGGCUUCUCUGUUUGUGUAUUUCUUGAAGGGCAAUUAUCACUAAGCAGUGCUGAUUACAGAGAAGCCUUUAUUCCUUUCUGGAAGAGACAGCAUCAAUAUUUUCCUGCACCUACUCCAGAAAUUGUAGGAGAAGCAUCUGAGACAACUCUGAAAGAGCACAUUUUUCUUGGGCCUUCCAUUAUCUUUAUGAAGUUUGGAUGAGCUUUAAGUCAAAACUUUUAUCUCAUGCAGUCUGUUUCCCAAAGCAUGUUGACUCCACAGGUCCCUAUUUACUUUAUUGAGGGGUGAAGAUGACCCCAGGUCAAACCCACCCAAACAUCUGAACUUAGAUUAGAACGACUGAUACAGCCGCACUUUAUGGGACGUCCUGAGAACACUUUCCCAACUCUGCCCCCACCUUACAAAUCACUGUCUCCACUCAAGCAGCAGAAAUAAGGCUCGGCUUCCUGUGCUGCCGUCCCAGAGGCCUUUCUCCUGAAACAAAUGUUUCCCCCUCAAAAUAGCAUUUGUUUGUAUCGGGUGUCUGAUGGAAGAAGAUGUUCAUACGGUCUCUUCUCAGAACUCAUUACUGUGAACAACAUCACCUGCACCACAAAAAGAGAUGUCCAAACUGAAGGCAUCUCCGCUCGGCAAGUGUCCUCCACCCAAAGUGCCCUGCUUGCUAUUAUGUGUGUAACCCCGUCCAGCUGUCUUGCAUUCACACAACCCAAACUGGACGUCUCAGCACGAAUAGCAUAGGCCCAUGACGUUUAACAGCGGAGAGGGAAAGAGACAUACGGAACAGUUUCAGAGCUCUGAUGAACAGAGAAAUAUAAAAGCUGCUGAGAUUUAUGGGCUGAAGAACGCCAGAGCAGCUUCUGAUGGGAGCAGCCUGCCCGUGACUUCUCAGAUCUCGGGAAGUUCUGGGUGGAUGAUCAAUUGCAAAGUUUGAAAUGGCUAAACAGAAACUGAUGGUUGGAGCGAUUGAAAUCGUCCCUUUUCUUGGUGUCGCAGGACUCUAAGCAUUUCCUUUUGUUGGGAAGUGUGCCAGCUUGGCCAGUGUAGUGCCAGAAAGACUUCACUGAAGAGAGAAUAAGGAACGUUCACCCAUAUAUACAUGGAGGAGAAAAA
ensembl:lncRNA